rnacentral:rRNA from 1 species
AGAGGGUGAUCGGCCACACUGGAACUGAGACACGGUCCAGACUCCUACGGGAGGCAGCAGUAGGGAAUCUUCCGCAAUGGGCGAAAGCCUGACGGAGCAACGCCGCGUGAGUGAUGAAGGUCUUCGGAUCGUAAAACUCUGUUAUUAGGGAAGAACAUAUGUGUAAGUAACUGUGCACAUCUUGACGGUACCUAAUCAGAAAGCCACGGCUAACUACGUGCCAGCAGCCGCGGUAAUACGUAGGUGGCAAGCGUUAUCCGGAAUUAUUGGGCGUAAAGCGCGCGUAGGCGGUUUUUUAAGUCUGAUGUGAAAGCCCACGGCUCAACCGUGGAGGGUCAUUGGAAACUGGAAAACUUGAGUGCAGAAGAGGAAAGUGGAAUUCCAUGUGUAGCGGUGAAAUGCGCAGAGAUAUGGAGGAACACCAGUGGCGAAGGCGACUUUCUGGUCUGUAACUGACGCUGAUGUGCGAAAGCGUGGGGAUCAAACAGGAUUAGAUACC